rnacentral:lncRNA from 1 species
UUUGGGGGUUUUCGAUCGUUGCAGUGUCGAUUUGCCCUUUGGUUUAUGACCGUAGGUUCUUUCGAGGUCAUUUGAGUUUGACGCUUUCUCUCGGUGCUCGAGCUUGGGGGUCCGAACUUCUCGUUACCUUGAAGAGGUCGAUUUAUCCUCGGCCCAUGUCAGGUUCCCUCUUAGCGAUUGGGACGAAGUUCCUUAUGUCUUUGAUGUAGUUUGUUUUUAUUUGUCACAGAAGUAGUUCGUCGGCCUUUCUCUUUCAUCUUCCCCUUUCCCUUUCAUGUUCGAGUGAGAGUUUUCCCCCUGCUCUUAACAGGGUCGUGAAAGCAUAGAGGUGUCGUUGAGGAAGCUUUCCUCCUUGUCGAUCAACCAAGUCUUUGUUUACGUCGAGACGAGGUCUUCCCC